ensembl:lncRNA
ACACUACAUCCCAGGUGCAUUCCUGAAAUACUUGCUGGGUGGAUUGAGCUUAUUCUGGGGCCUAUCCUGCUUGAAUAUGCAAAGGAUUCCAGUGUUAUCUGGUAUAUCUGAUGCGGCAUUGACCUAUACUCUCAUAUCUUAUCUUCCUACUCAGUAUGCAACCAGAAAAUGCUGGUGCUGCUGUACUACUGAGGGCAGUGCCUCCCUCCAACAACUGCUCCGCAGUGUGAGAUGUGGCCACUCACACAGACUCCUAAUACAGCCCACCGCAUGUAGUCUGGCAAGGUUUUGUUAGCCUCUUCCCCACCAAGGAAACAAAGAUUUUGCCUUGUAAUCCUCUGGAACCCAAGGGAGAGCCAUCUGUCUGUCAGUACCAGAGAUAACUUCUCUUCUAGAGGAAUACAAAAUCUGAACCACAGCUGCAGCUGCAGCACUGCUAUCCAAGCUUUACGAGUGUUUUUAAGAGGCAAUUGAACAAUCAGUCCAGAACACCGAUGUUGACCUGAUUUCUGCUUAAGGAACACCUGACUUUGUUUCCCACUUUCUCCCUUCCCAGCUCAGUUCCUGGGGUGACAGGGCCAAGUUCCAGCAACAAUAGCUGAGUUCUGGCAUUUUGACAUCCAAACCAGGGAUUGUUGUUGCAAAACCAUGUGCAAUUCAGCGCUGAGCAAUGUGUUCCCUACACACAGCUCAGUGCAGUACACUGGGAUGGUUACUAUUAUCGACACUAUUAGGACAUACAGGAGAGCAUGAUGCAAUAGAAGGAACACCAAGCUGAGAUAAAGGUGACAUGGGGAACUGUUGUAGGCAGCUUGAAGGUAUAACUAUAUGCGAAAGCCCCACUGGUUCUGGAGUUGGCCUAUGGAUUCGCAAUGAAUGGAGCAACCAGAAAGGAAUGCAGAUAUAACGGAGAGCCCUCCCUGCCAUCUGCACCCAUGAGCCCACUGCAUCAUAGGAUUUUUGCAGGCCCUGCCAUACAAAAAUAACCAAAACCAAGUGAAAAAGUGUUUAGUCUUACAAAUCUCAAAAUAAAAGGAACCUUGGAUAUGAGUGAUUCUUUCUCAUCUCUAAACAUAUAUGUACUUCCAUAAUGCUGAACUCAAUUCUUCUUUUCUUUAUCUUGCAUUUAAACAAUAGACCAGGUUUUAUGGUUCUAUGCGAAGAACUUGUUACACAAGCUCCAGUGACUCACAAUCUUGUUGAACACUGUAUUCCCAAGUACUAGCCUCUAACACCAGGAAUCCUGGUAAAUGGAAUUAAAUAUUUUGCAAGAAUAUCUUGCUACAGCAUUUAAUACAUCUCUUGCAUAACUGACUCUUUUGGUGGGAUCUUUACUUUGGAAAGUAAAACAGAUAUAUGCAUGUAUUCAGUUGAGAGGUUGUAACAUGUUGAUACUGAUUUACUUGAGAGUUUUGGCCAAAUUUGGUGUGCUUAUGUUGCUGGGAGUAAAAGGGAG